rnacentral:rRNA from 1 species
UACGUAGGGGGCAAGCGCUGUUCGGAAUCACUGGGUGUAAAGCGUGCGCAGGCGGGAUGAUGAGUCGGUGGUGAAAGCCCGCGGCUCAACGUAGGAAUUGCUGUCGAUACUGUCGGUCUAGAGGCCGGGAGAGGGAAGUGGAACUUCUAGUGUAGAGGUAAAAUGCGUGGAUAUUAGAAAGAACGCCAAUGGCGAAGGCGGGCCACUGGACCGGUACUGACGCUGAAGUGAGAAAGCGAGGGGAGCAAACAGG